rnacentral:lncRNA from 1 species
GCAAUUCUCCUGCCUCAGCCUCCCAAGUAGCUGGGAUUACAGAUCAUCUCUCUACUGACCUUUUAGUGGCUUAGCAUUUUGUUGCAAUGCACAAGUGAAGUUGGGAAACAGAGCCAAGUGACAAGCUGUGAAGUAACAGCUCAGCCUUCACAAAGCAAAUGUGCUUUGUGCACUUCCUUGCCAGAGCAGAUGUGGCCUUGGUGGACUGUGGGGAGCAUCAUCUCUCAGGUAAAAAUAAAUUACUAAGAUUAGGACCAAAUGAUGCAAAUCCUUUCAUUUGCAAACAGAUCAUGAACUGGCAGCCAUGUGGAAAGAAGACUAGACUGCGAAUCACUUAGGAUCCCACCCUCGGUUUAGUCUAGAAUACUCUGCGAAUCAGCUUUUUGGCCCUAGGUUAUAGGAUCCAGUUUUUUAGGUGGUAGCAACAUGCUCAAGGAAGAUGCAGCCCCUUCCUCCAGCCUGAGAGAAUAAAGCAUCAUUGGCUUAUGCCAACCAUGGCAAUCCCAUUCCCCUUUUCUCAUGAUUGAUUUGGGAAUGGGCAAGUGACCCAGUUCUAACCAAUGAGACGAAAGAAAAAGUCUAUUGGUCAGCUUAUCUCAGAAGAUUUUUGUUUCCUGCUAUAAAGAGAAACAGUAAGUUCCUUCCUGCCUGACUUAAAUGCAAUUGUGUGCAAACAUGUUACUUGGAGCUACAGCAACGAUUCUGUGACCAUGAGGCAAUAAGCCAAGGACAAAGGAUAGAAUAGUGAAAAGACAGAGUAUUGGAUUUUUUUUAUGAUAUCAUUGAACUGCUGGACCAAUGUGGAACCAUCUACUUUUAGUCUUUCAUGAUUUGUGAGAUGAUUAAACAUUUCUUUUUUUUAGCCAUUAUUUCUUUUCUGUUACUUGCAACUGAAGACAUCCUACAUAAUACAAACACUAUCCAACUUGGAUUGUAAUUUAUCUAUUUUCAGAUCUGUGUGUUCUGUCUUACUGAUUUUUGUAUUCUUAGCACUGAGUAUAAGGCUGCUACUUAGUAAGACUUCAAUAAAUGACUGUUUAAAAAGG